AACCUUUAUGUUAGACCUCAAAUCAGGUAGGACUACCCGCUGAACUUAAGCAUAUCAAUAAGCGGAGGAAAAGAAACUAACAAGGAUUCCCCUAGUAG
rnacentral:rRNA from 1 species